CAGUAGCCGCGGUAAUACGAAGGGGGCUAGCGUUGCUCGGAAUGACUGGGCGUAAAGGGCGCGUAGGCGGAUUGCGCAGUCAGAUGUGAAAUUCCUGGGCUUAACCUGGGGGCUGCAUUUGAGACGCGUAGUCUAGAGUGUGAAAGAGGGUCGUGGAAUUCCCAGUGUAGAGGUGAAAUUCGUAGAUAUUGGGAAGAACACCGGUGGCGAAGGCGGCGACCUGGUUUAUGACUGACGCUGAGGCGCGAAAGCGUGGGGGGCAAACAGGAUUAGAUACCCCUGUAGUCCCUGUCUCUUAUAA
rnacentral:rRNA from 1 species